GAAUUGUGUGGCUCAGCGGUAGAGCUCUCGCCUAGCAUGUGCAAGGCCCUGGGUUCAAUCCUCAGCACCACA
rnacentral:tRNA from 1 species